ACCGGACACCAUUGGAGAAGCUCCCGCGGUAACCAGAGUGCCCGGCGACUUUCUGGACAAGGAUCUUCCCACCUGUGUUGUCAAUUAUACCGCUGCAAGGAGGAAACAUGGUGUCUGAGGGGAGAAAUUCCACAAAAUCCUUCAAAACUGUUCUACAAUGCGAGAGAUUUCACCAAUAAGAAGAUGUAGACCACAGAAGACUGUCCCAAAUUACCACAUAUUUUGAGAUGCAAUUUGAUGGAAAGGCUUUCUCCAAAACAGGGCACAAGUAGGCUUUUCUGACUUAUGUGAUGCCAGUAUUUGCCCUUGUAACAUUUGUACCAAGUUGCUCCAUGGGAAAUACUCUAAACUUCUCUAAUCUCUCAUCCCACUCAUCAUCAUGGGAAGGACACUCUGUCCCACGUAGCCUCAUUUCCAAGCAGCUUCUUUCUUCCUGUGCUUCAUGUCCUAAACCUUCUUCAACCAAACCCAGAAGAACAAAAUUUUCAAGUGUUGAAGAUGCAUUGCAAAGGAGGGCCUCAGUCACUAAAAAAAAUGAGCCCAAAGAGGUGACCCAGCCAUGUCCUGCUGCAGAGGAGACUAGAGAAGAUGGCAAGAGAGAUGAGGGUGAGCUGGAUGUAGAAAGAGGGAAUGGGCUCUGUUCUCUGCUGGCAGGGCACCUGCAGAGGAUGUGGUGGCAGCCCUCAGACACCACUAAAUGUAGAGCUGCCCCAGAACACAGUUAGGUACCAAAUGUUUGCAGAUCCCAGAGUAAAUACUUGGGUAGCUAGCCCAUGAAUGCCAUGCUGCCAGGACUGCCCAAACCUGGCACCUCCCGGUGUUUGUUUGCAAGGGGCAGCUUUACCCACACAGGCUGCAAUCACAGCUGGGCACUACAGCUACCCCAUAGAUGCCUUUGGAGCCUACAGGAUUUCAGUAGAUCCUGACUUGUCUGUGGGCCACAGUGCUGGAAGAAAAGUUCAUCAGUAAUACAUGCUCCCGUUUUAUCUGAACAAGUCCCUUCACAUCCCUCUCUUUGCAUCAGCUUGCUAUCCACAGGGCAUUAUCACGAGUCAGCACAAAGCAGUUUUACUCCUGCCCUGCAUUGCGCUCUCAGCGGUGCCUGCAGCCCCUUUGGGCUGGGGGCUUAGAGAGUUCACAAGGGGGAUUCAGGCUCUGGCAAGAAAGACAGCGUUUAAUUUACUAACAGAGAUGCAAUCUAAACAGCUACAGAUUUUCUGGGCAUUUCUGUGCCUUCCUGAGCCUCUUGUGCUGCAGCGAGAAGCUGUGCUGCGUGUGCAGCAUUUACCCAGUUUUCCAAGAGGGAAAUGUGCAGCAAAUAAAGGAACUGGGAUGCAAAAGAGUGGCAGCUGCUUUAGGACUGUUGGAGAAGUUCUUUUACAGACAAAUGAACCGUCAAUUUGUAGUAAGACAUUGUUUUCUAAACAUAGCAUGAAAACUGUUAUCUUGCCUGGCUGGUCAUUAGAAGAGAGAUAAUUAUAGUCUCUGUGAGACAGCCGGGCCCAGAACAGGGGCUGCAUUGUCCCAGGUCCCAGCUGAGCUCUAGCACAGGCUCCCCAGGCAGUGCUGGGACAAGGGGGCUCCUUGUGCCCCGGCAAGUUCAAAGGAGGAAUUGAAGUGCUCUAAGUAGGUGUUAAGCACCUAUUUCUCUUUCCGACUCUGGACUUAAAAAUCUACUCCACAAGAGAGAGAUGUGGAGGGCAGACCCGUGACUACUGUAGCUGCAUCCUCCCUGGCUUUUUGUACAAUACAUGCCAUGAUUAUUAUUUUCCUUUUAAUUAAAAAAAAAAAAUCAGACCCCAAAUAAUCAGUUUUGCAAUUCUGUGUUUCUGUUUUUCAA